CUUGUGCUUGAGCUUGGAGCUUCCAGCUUUUGAAAUUGAUUCACCAGCACCAGGCUAAUAUGAAUCAAAAUUAUGGAAGUUUUAUCAUUCCUCAAGCUAGAGGUCGAAAGAGAAAAACAAAUCCAGAAGAAUGGGCAAAAAUAAGAAGAAAAGAGUAAGACAUUUUCAACAAUCACGUCGAUGGAAUCAUCCGGAUACUCCUUACACUGGACCAUUCAAUACCUAGAAGGGGGGUUAGGGGUGGCCGGGGAAGGGCAGAGGUAGGAGGUUGGAGAGGAAGAGGUGGAAGGGGAAGAGGGGGAAGGGGAAGAGGAAGAGGAGGAAGAGGUGGUGGGGGACCAAAUAACGGGAGAGUCGACAGACUAGAAGAAGUUAACCGGGAUAGAAUUGAUGACUCUGAAGAAGGAAUUAGAGUAGAAACCCGUAUCCCCCUACUCCGGAAAGAAGAUCUUGUAAGAUAUCUUGUAAGAAAAUGUAUUUAGUUUUAUGUAUAAAAGUUAAUAGUACAUUAUAUGUGUUGUUAAUCUAAAA